rnacentral:rRNA from 1 species
GACGAACGCUGGCGGCGUGCUUAACACAUGCAAGUCGAACGGUGAUGCUCCAGCUUGCUGGAUUGGAUCAGUGGCGAACGGGUGAGUAACACGUGAGCAACCUGCCCCAGACUCUGGAAUAAGCGCUGGAAACGGCGUCUAAUACUGGAUACGAAACUGGCCCGCAUGGGCAUGGUUUGGAAAGUUUUUCGGUUUGGGAUGGGCUCGCGGCCUAUCAGCUUGUUGGUGAGGUAAUGGCUCACCAAGGCGACGACGGGUAGCCGGCCUGAGAGGGCGACCGGCCACACUGGGACUGAGACACGGCCCAGACUCCUACGGGAGGCAGCAGUGGGGAAUAUUGCACAAUGGGCGAAAGCCUGAUGCAGCGACGCCGCGUGAGGGAUGACGGCCUUCGGGUUGUAAACCUCUUUCAGCAGGGAAGAAGCGAAAGUGACGGUACCUGCAGAAGAAGCACCGGCUAACUACGUG